rnacentral:rRNA from 1 species
GCUCGAGUGGCGAACGGGUGAGUAACACGUGAGUAACCUGCCCUUGACUUCGGGAUAACUUCAGGAAACUGGGGCUAAUACCGGAUAGGAGCUCCUGCUGCAUGGUGGGGGUUGGAAAGUUUCGGCGGUUGGGGAUGGACUCGCGGCUUAUCAGCUUGUUGGUGGGGUAGUGGCCUACCAAGGCGGCGACGGGUAGCCGGCCUGAGAGGGUGGACGGCCACAUUGGGACUGAGAUACGGCCUAG